rnacentral:rRNA from 1 species
UGGGGAAUAUUGGACAAUGGGCGCAAGCCUGAUCCAGCCAUGCCGCGUGAGUGAUGAAGGCCUUAGGGUUGUAAAGCUCUUUCGCCGGUGAAGAUAAUGACGGUAACCGGAGAAGAAGCCCCGGCUAACUUCGUGCCAGCAGCCGCGGUAAUACGAAGGGGGCUAGCGUUGCUCGGAAUCACUGGGCGUAAAGCGCACGUAGGCGGAUCGUUAAGUCAGGGGUGAAAUCCUGGAGCUCAACUCCAGAACUGCCCUUGAUACUGGCGAUCUCGAGUUCGAGAGAGGUUGGUGGAACUCCGAGUGUAGAGGUGAAAUUCGUAGAUAUUCGGAAGAACACCAGUGGCGAAGGCGGCCAACUGGCUCGAUACUGACGCUGAGGUGCGAAAGCGUGGGGAGCAAAACAGGAUUAGAUACCCUGGUAGUCCACGCCGUAAACGAUGGAUGCUAGCCGUUGGGGGGUUUACCUCUCAGUGGCGCAGCUAACGCCUUAAGCAUCCCGCCUGGGGAGUACGGUCGCAAGAUUAAAACUCAAAGGAAUUGACGGGGUCAUAGCUU